UACGUAGGCAGCAAGCGUUGUUCGGAGUUACUGGGCGUAAAGGGCUCGUAGGUGGCCAACUAAGUCAGACGUGAAAUCCCUCGGCUUAACCGGGGAACUGCGUCUGAUACUGGAUGGCUAGAGUUUGGGAGAGGGAUGCGGAAUUCCAGGUGUAGCGGUGAAAUGCGUAGAUAUCUGGAGGAACACCGGUGGCGAAGGCGGCAUCCUGGACCAACACUGACGCUGAGGAGCGAAAGCCAGGGGAGCAAACGGG
rnacentral:rRNA from 1 species